rnacentral:misc_RNA from 1 species
ACCUCCCAUCCGUGUCUAUUAUACCCUGUUGCUUCGGCGGGCCCGCCGCUUGUCGGCCGCCGGGGGGGCGCCUUUGCCCCCCGGGCCCGUGCCCGCCGGAGACCCCAACACGAACACUGUCUGAAAGCGUGCAGUCUGAGUUGAUUGAAUGCAAUCAGUUAAAACUUUCAACAAUGGAUCUCUUGGUUCCGGCAUCGAUGAAGAACGCAGCGAAAUGCGAUAACUAAUGUGAAUUGCAGAAUUCAGUGAAUCAUCGAGUCUUUGAACGCACAUUGCGCCCCCUGGUAUUCCGGGGGGCAUGCCUGUCCGAGCGUCAUUGCUGCCCUCAAGCCCGGCUUGUGUGUUGGGUCGCCGUCCCCCUCUCCGGGGGGACGGGCCCGAAAGGCAGCGGCGGCACCGCGUCCGAUCCUCGAGCGUAUGGGGCUUUGUCACAUGCUCUGUAGGAUUGGCCGGCGCCUGCCGACGUUUUCCAACCAUUUUUUCCAGGUGACCUCG